rnacentral:misc_RNA from 1 species
UCGUAACAAGGUCUCCGUAGGUGAACCUGCGGAGGGAUCAUUACACAAUAAACAUAUGAAGGCUGCACCGCCAACAGGCGGCAAGGCUGGAGUAUUUUAUUACCCUUGUCUUUUGCGCACUUGUUGUUUCCUGGGCGGGUUCGCCCGCCUCCAGGACCACAUGAUAAACCUUUUUUAUGCAGUUGCAAUCAGCGUCAGUACAACAAAUGUAAAUCAUUUACAACUUUCAACAACGGAUCUCUUGGUUCUGGCAUCGAUGAAGAACGCAGCGAAAUGCGAUACGUAGUGUGAAUUGCAGAAUUCAGUGAAUCAUCGAAUCUUUGAACGCACAUUGCGCCCUUUGGUAUUCCAAAGGGCAUGCCUGUUCGAGCGUCAUUUGUACCCUCAAGCUUUGCUUGGUGUUGGGCGUUUUUUGUCUUUGGUUUUGUCCAAAGACUCGCCUUAAAACGAUUGGCAGCCGGCCUACUGGUUUCGCAGCGCAGCACAUUUUUGCGCUUGCAAUCAGCAAAAGAGGACGGCACUCCAUCAAGACUCUAUAUCACUUUUGACCUCGGAUCAGGUAGGGAUACCCGCUGAACUUAAGCAUAUCAAUAA